GAAGUCGGAAUUGCUAGUAAUGGCAGGUCAGCAUACUGCCGUGAAUACGUUCCCGGGCCUUGUACACACCGCCCGUCACACCAUGAGAGUUGGAGAUACCCGAAGCCUAUGAGCUAACUUUUAGAGGCAGUAGUCGAAGGUAGAAUCAAUGAUUGGGGUGAAGUCGUAACAAGGUACC
rnacentral:rRNA from 1 species